ACCAAUUUGAUAGGUUUAUCCCCACAUUACCCUUCCUUAUUCUAGAAUUGGCGCUCAUUAUUACUCAACAGGGAGUACUUUGAAAAGAAACAAAUUCCAAAAAAAAUAGCUCAACUCGUUAGAAAGAAAUGGAGUAAUUUGAAAAGGGCACGCUCCAAAAGAUUUAGCACAGCUCAGUAGAAACAAGAAAGAAAUGGAUAUUGGAGUUAUGGGUUUCAUUCCCAUGGGUCUACUCUUGCUGUCUCUCAUGGCUUUUUCCUAUCCAGGUGCUUAUUAUGGUGCCCAUACCAAUAUUGCGAUUAGGUGGGAUAUUAUGAGCUGGACACCGAAUGGGUACUUGGGCUUAAGUGUGUGCCGCCUUUGACAACAAUGGCUGAACGUAAACUUUAUGUAGAAACGAGCUGAGCAAUUUUAACCUUUGAGAUUGACUUGGGUUGCUAAGAUAGCAAACAGAACACAAGGGAGUAAGACACUGGGGGUCCUUUAUGGGCUUCAUUUAUUUCAGCCUUACUGCAUCUACUAUAUGCUAUUUCAACAUUCUUCUCAAACUAGUUGUUUUUCUUAUUGGAGCAUAUAUAUGAGAUGGCUAAUUUAGUAGGAAGAAGUGGUGUUAUUGCAGCUUCUUUGUUUUGUGCAUUAGUGAUUAUUAGUUGUGAAUUCAAGUCAACAACAAAAAAAAGAGUAUGUUACCUUCAA